UACGUAGGGGGCAAGCGUUGUCCGGAUUUACUGGGCGUAAAGGGCUCGUAGGCGGUUUGUCGCGUCGGGAGUGAAAACCCAGGGCUUAACCCUGGGCUGGCUUCCGAUACGGGCAGACUAGAGGUAUGCAGGGGAGAACGGAAUUCCUGGUGUAGCGGUGAAAUGCGCAGAUAUCAGGAGGAACACCGGUGGCGAAGGCGGUUCUCUGGGCAUUACCUGACGCUGAGGAGCGAAAGUGUGGGGAGCGAACAGG
rnacentral:rRNA from 1 species